CUCUGCCUGAGGAAGUGGUUUUAUACAGAUGUUCAAACAGCUACUAGAUGCAUACUUGCAAGAACAGAAUAUUCAAGGAUAUAAUCUUUCAAUGUAGGGUAAUAACUGCUUGAUCCAAGGAUAAAUCUGACUGCCAUUCUGGGGUCAAGAAGGAAUUUUUUUCCUAGCUUGUUGCAAAAUUGUGCUUCAAACUGGGUUUUUUU